AUGGUGCAGGACGGAGCACAGAGGCCCCCAGGGCCACGUUACCACUGCUCUUGUAUGGCCAUCCUGGAGGACUCUCAUCAGAACUUCACACUGUUCUCCCCUCUGCUUAGAGGAUAUUUCGACUGCUGUCAGGAAGAUGAGAGCAGCUGGGCCGUUAAAGUCAACAGGCUCCCACUUCUACACGGGCCAGAUUGUGUCAUAAUUGGAAAUGUGAAAUAUGCCUUCCUCUGUUUAGACUUCCCAGGCGUGGCAUGGCUUGUUUGUGUUUCCUCCAAACCCCAGAAAAGGCCAGUCCCAGGCCUGAGUAAAUGCUCCAGGCUUGUUGGUGAGGAGAAGGAGCCACGGCCCCUGCCAGCUCCAGAACCCACUCCCUCCCUGCACAUAUUAUGUAGCAUCAAGACGUCCAUUGCUCAGGCUCUGCUGUCUGUGAGUCUGGCCUUGCCUUUCCUGAUGAGAAACAAAAGAAGGGGAGUGAGAGAGAAGCGAGAAUAACAGGAUCACAACGAUCUCAUCAGCACAGUUGGAGAGCAACAAAUAUGAAGCCCAGAUCCAGAUCUUCAGGCACAGAAUGUCACCAAGGAAAAGCUGCCUCGCUCCCUCAUGACAACAUUCCCCCAAGAAACCACUGCUUGGAGAAACUUCAAGUUCUGUGCUGAAGUGCAGUGCAAAGCUAAACAAGACUCUGAAAUGCAAAUGUCUUGUCAGCACAGAGCAGAGCAAGUUUUUAUAAGGUAGAUAAACCUAAGGAGCCCCAGCUCCCAUCUUCCCUGGAGAGAAGGGAUAGAGGACAGGACAGGAGGCAAAGAAUCAGGGGCAGAGUGGACACCUGACACAGCAUCAGAAGGUAGGAGAUGAGUGAAUAUUAUUUAUAGUAGAGCUUCUAACUACUCAGUGAUGUGUAUAAUUCACUCAUUAAAAUGCAGAUUUGUAUUUAGCAAAUCUGGGAUGGUGCCUGAGACUCUGCAUUUCUACAAGAGGAGAAAAUUGGGCUAGAUAACAAGAAUUUUUUAAAUACUUUCAUAUAUAUAUACAUGUAUAUAUAUAUACACACACACACACACACAUAUAUAUAUAUAAAGCUGGGUUUUUUAAACACUUAUUCAUAGCGGGGUGCAGAGAGAGAGGGAGACAGAAUCUGAAGCAGGUUCCAGUCUCUGAGCUGUCAGCACAGAGCCCAAUGCAGGGCUCGAACCCACGAACCAUGAGGUCAUGACCUGAGCCGAAGUCAGAUGCUUAACCAACUGAACCACCCAGGUGCCCCUAAAGUACUUCCUAAUUUCAGUUCUUUUUUAAACAUUCAUUUGUGGGGCACCUAGGUGGCUCAGUCGGUUAAGCGUCUGACUUCGGCUCAAGUCAUGAUCUCAUGGUCCGUGGGUUCGAGCCCCCUGUCGGGCUCUGUGCUGACAGCUCAGAGCCUGGAGCCUGUUUCAGAUUCUGUGUCUCCCUCUUUCUCUGACCCUCCCCUGUUCAUGCUCUCUCUCUGUCUCAAAAAUAAAUAAAUGUUAAAAAAAAUUUUUUAAAUAAUA
rnacentral:lncRNA from 1 species